UACGUAGGUGGCAAGCGUUGUCCGGAUUUAUUGGGUUUAAAGGGUGCGUAGGUGGCCCUGUAAGUCAGUGGUGAAAUAUCUCAGCUUAACUGAGAGGGUGCCAUUGAUACUGCAGGGCUUGAGUACAGAUGAGGUAGGCGGAAUUGACGGUGUAGCGGUGAGAUGCAUAGAUAUCGUCAAGAACACCGAUAGCGAAGGCAGCUUACCAAGCUGUAACUGACACUGAGGCACGAAAGUGUGGGGAUCAAACAGG
rnacentral:rRNA from 1 species